UACGGCCAUAUGAUGUUGAAAUACCGGUUCCCGUACGAUCACACAAGUUAAGCAACGUCGAGCUUUGUCAGUACCUGGUUGGGUAACCGCUUUGGAAUACCAGGUGCUGUGA